AAUAAUUUUUUUUUAGCAAUGACAUCCUCUGUUGCAAAAAAAAAAAAAGUAAUUUUAUUAUUUAAAUAUUUAUUUGUAAUGAAAAUAAAAAAAAAAUCCCAAAAAAUUUCUCCCCCCCUUCCUUUUCCAUUCACGCUCGGGUUCCCCCCACCCCAAACCCAAAAUCUCCAAUCUCAAAAAUCCUUAAUCUCUUCCCCCCUUUUCCAUUCCCGCUCGGGUUUCCCCCCACCCCAAACCCAAAAUCCCCAAUCUCUUGAACCAAAAUCCCCAAUCUUAAAUUCCCUAAUCUCUUCUUACGUCUCUCUCUCUCUCUCUCUCUCUCCGUCUCAAUUUGUUUCAGAUGCUGAUUCGGAUGAUUCACGGUCGAUGAGGAAAAGGAAGAGCAGGAGUUCUAGGUGUAGAAGUAGGAAAUCGAAAUCAGUCGCUGAUAGUGAAUCGGAUGAGUUGAGUGACCAAUGCCACGGAGAUAGUGAAUCCAAAAGUCUUCUCUCUCUCUCUCUCUCUUUCUCUCUCAUCAUUUCUAGUACUAUUCAGGAGCAAGAGCAAGAAAGAGACCCAAACAAUUGGUGAAUAGUAAUGGCCGGCGAAGACAUUCACGACGGCCUUCAAGACGAGCCAUGGGAAGAAUGAACUCUCCACCUCCUUUACAACUCCAAGAUCGAUCAAGGUCUCUCUCUCUCUCUCUCAAUUCUUAUUGAUUCAUUACCGUGACGUGUUCUUUGAUUAUCACAGAUUUUUCAAUUGCUAAAGUUGCAUUGUGGACAACAGUUAUCAACCCAUUCACUAAAUAUCCUUUGACUAAAUUAUUAAGUUAUGAAAAUAGGAUAUUAGAUGUAAUUUGUGACGUUGUCUGCAAAAUUAUGAAGUAAAUAUCCAUAUUUGAUUCCUUAACACUGCACAAGUUUGCCCUGUUGAUGAACCCAUUGGCCAGAAGUAUCGAGGAACUGCUGCCUGUCAGAAUCUCUUGUACUUUCUGGUGUUUCAUUCUGCUGAGGACAGCACUUGUCAUUUCUUCUGUUAUUGUUGCAUUUCUCGUUUCUUUCUUCAAUAUGUUCAUUAACAAUGCAUUUGGUGUGGCUCCGGCAGUAAUAGUGCCAGCAUUAUGUUUCCAAAGAAUUGUAAAGAAGGCGACAACCACCCAGAUUGUCUUGAGCAUCACAACAGUGGCACUGGGCAUUAUUUGUGCAGUCCUGGGAACAUACUCUUCACUGUCGGAAAUCGCAAAGCAGUACUGAGAUAUAUCUAUUCAAAAUAUUUAGAACAUGUUCACAAAUUAAUUUGUUGGCUAUUUCAUUUCACUUUCAAUAUUGAUCUUCUAUUUAGGACAUGUUCACCUGUUAUCUUAGUUUUUUAGCCUUCUGAAGAAUUUGUGUAUUGAAUAUUUUUAAGAGAACGGGUUUUUGAAAACUGAAAAAGGCUAAAACAGUGAAGGUGACCACCAAAAAGUCAAUUUUUUUGUAGUGAGAGGAGAUCAACUAAUAUGCAGUCUAGAGAAUGGCAAAGGUGAGGCUAUCUGACCCCUAGAGAAAAAUCAAAGGAGGAGAUGAUAUCAACAGAGAUAUCAGUGCAUGCUCAUCUUAUUUCCUUAUUUAAUUUAUUUGAUUUAUUGGUCAAUGGAGUUGUGUUUUUCUUUUGUU